rnacentral:rRNA from 3 species
AGAGUUUGAUCCUGGCUCAGAGUGAACGCUGGCGGCGUGCCUAAUACAUGCAAGUCGAACGAUGAAGCUUCUAGCUUGCUAGAAGUGGAUUAGUGGCGCACGGGUGAGUAACGCAUAGGUCAUGUGCCUCUUAGUUUGGGAUAGCCAUUGGAAACGAUGAUUAAUACCAGAUACUCCCUACGGGGGAAAGAUUUAUCGCUAAGAGAUCAGCCUAUGUCCUAUCAGCUUGUUGGUAAGGUAAUGGCUUACCAAGGCUAUGACGGGUAUCCGGCCUGAGAGGGUGAACGGACACACUGGAACUGAGACACGGUCCAGACUCCUACGGGAGGCAGCAGUAGGGAAUAUUGCUCAAUGGGGGAAACCCUGAAGCAGCAACGCCGCGUGGAGGAUGAAGGUUUUAGGAUUGUAAACUCCUUUUGUUAGAGAAGAUAAUGACGGUAUCUAACGAAUAAGCACCGGCUAACUCCGUGCCAGCAGCCGCGGUAAUACGGAGGGUGCAAGCGUUACUCGGAAUCACUGGGCGUAAAGAGCGCGUAGGCGGGAUAGUCAGUCAGGUGUGAAAUCCUAUGGCUUAACCAUAGAACUGCAUUUGAAACUACUAUUCUAGAGUGUGGGAGAGGUAGGUGGAAUUCUUGGUGUAGGGGUAAAAUCCGUAGAGAUCAAGAGGAAUACUCAUUGCGAAGGCGACCUGCUGGAACAUUACUGACGCUGAUUGCGCGAAAGCGUGGGGAGCAAACAGGAUUAGAUACCCUGGUAGUCCACGCCCUAAACGAUGGAUGCUAGUUGUUGGAGGGCUUAGUCUCUCCAGUAAUGCAGCUAACGCAUUAAGCAUCCCGCCUGGGGAGUACGGUCGCAAGAUUAAAACUCAAAGGAAUAGACGGGGACCCGCACAAGCGGUGGAGCAUGUGGUUUAAUUCGAAGAUACACGAAGAACCUUACCUAGGCUUGACAUUGAGAGAAUCCGCUAGAAAUAGUGGAGUGUCUGGCUUGCUAGACCUUGAAAACAGGUGCUGCACGGCUGUCGUCAGCUCGUGUCGUGAGAUGUUGGGUUAAGUCCCGCAACGAGCGCAACCCCCUUUCUUAGUUGCUAACAGGUCAUGCUGAGAACUCUAAGGAUACUGCCUCCGUAAGGAGGAGGAAGGUGGGGACGACGUCAAGUCAUCAUGGCCCUUACGCCUAGGGCUACACACGUGCUACAAUGGGGUGCACAAAGAGAAGCAAUACUGCGAAGUGGAGCCAAUCUUCAAAACGCCUCUCAGUUCGGAUUGUAGGCUGCAACUCGCCUGCAUGAAGCUGGAAUCGCUAGUAAUCGCAAAUCAGCCAUGUUGCGGUGAAUACGUUCCCGGGUCUUGUACUCACCGCCCGUCACACCAUGGGAGUUGUGUUUGCCUUAAGUCAGGAUGCUAAAUUGGCUACUGCCCACGGCACACACAGCGACUGGGGUGAAGUCGUAACAAGGUAACCGUAGGUGAACCUGCGGUUGGAUCACCU